ensembl:lncRNA LINC01151 long intergenic non-protein coding RNA 1151
AGGUUGGGAGUUGCUGCCAUGGAGACCACAAGAGUGGAGAUUUUCUGACACACAGAAAGGAAUGGAUUACAGCUCCUUCUUAUGUAAAUUUCCAUGGAGGGGAAAAAAGAUUAAAAGGAAAAUAAUUCUGCUUUAGUCGUUUUCCUUUAAGGUGAUAAGAUCCUUUGAUUCCAUCGUGGAGAAGAAGGCAACAGCUGUUUGUCACAAAUGAUGGGAAAUGUGCCAACGUCACAACAAGGUUUGAGGGAGGCACAUCUCAUGCUCGGACAUGAACACCCGAUCAUCAUGCUUAUGAACUACAAAAGGAUCUCCAGUAUGGGCUCACGGCAGUUGGCCCUUGAAUAACAUGAAUUUGAACUGCCUGAGUCUGCUAAUAUGUGGAUUAUCUUCUGCUUCUGCACCCUGAGACAGCAAGACCAACCCUUCCUCUUGCUUCUUUUCCUUAGCCUAUUCAACGUGAAGAUGACUAAGGUGAGGACACAAUAGGAUGACCAUCAGCAAACCAGGAAUAAUGCCCUCAACAGACAUCUGAUCUGCUGACACCUUGAUCUUGGACUUCUAAUUCUGCAGAACUGUGAGAAAUAAAUAACUGUUUUUAAAAACCAU